GUUGGGGCGAUGAGGUAAUACGAGCGGUGACCGCUCGGCGCUCGCGCGCCUCCCCGGGUCCCUGCACCUACCUACGCGGAGGGGGACGCGGCCACGGCCGGGUACCGCCCGGGCCACCCGGGGGACUCCCUGAAUCGCCCAGAAGCUUCGGGGCUCGCGGGGGGCCAUCGCUCCAGCCCGGCGAUCCGGAGCCCAGGCGCGGGGACCGCUUCGGCGUGCAACUCGGCAAAGUUUCCGUGGUCCCUGCCGUCAGCCCACGCAUCCUCACCUUUCCUGCGGGGGAAAGCCAGCGACCUCGCGACCCUCCUUUCUAUUUCCGCAGCUCCGGAAAUCUGCUCUGGGCUUUGAACUCCUCGGCCGAGGCCUGGACCGGCGACCCGCGCGCUCCCCGCUCCUCUCGCGGCUAAUUCGGGAUCAUUCAUUUCAUCGGAAGUGAGGUAACCGGUGCAGGGGACGAGGACGCCGCGUUCAGGGGCAAUUCUCCGGAGCUCACGGCCAAGGAACUUCCCCCUGCACCCCUGCCUGGCCCGGGCUCGGGGCGCAGGAGCCCUCGGCCAAGGGGAGCGCCCAUAACAGGUGUGGCACCUGGAGGGAGAGCUGCGCAUCCCUGCCGGGGUCGCGCUGGGCGCGGUGCUGGGCGCUGCAGAGAAUUCUGGAAGACCAGUAGGUGUCGGGGCAGCAUUUGACCUCCUUCAGGUGCUUAGAACUCAGUGUCUAGAAACCUGAUCCCUUGGCUGCUCUCUGGAAGCCGCCCCUAUUGACUGCAAGCUGGAUUUGAGAGACCUUUUGGCUCCGUUUACUUAUGACCUAACAGUUAAGUCACCAACCAAAGCAGGAGACAGAAUCACCAAGAGAGAUGUGUCAGCUUUGAAACAACUGUGUGGUGGAGCCAGUGCACUUCAAAAUGAAUUAAAAUUUAAUAAUAAUAAGUGAUGCUAGGAGGAAGGCGUAGAGUCCCCGGAUUGAUACCUGCUUUCCCAUUUUGAAAUGGCAUCCACACAUCCAUAACUGCAUAAAUAGCAAAACUACUAUCAUUUUGCUUUGUUUCCCCCUACAACUUUUUUUUUUUUUUCUGUUGCUAUUCACUUAAAAAUCAGUGGUUGUUAGGUUUCAAACUCGGGGUGUGGAACAUUGUUGGUCUCCUUACAGCCCCUAGUGGACGGCUGACUUUAGUUCCCUGUGGAGGCUCUGGCGGGUUUUGUUUUCGUGGGAAGGUGAAGGUUAAUAGUUCACAGCUUAACCAGUGAUGUCUUUCGCCCUUACGUGGCAGAGCCAACUUCUAGAAGGCUCACAAGCAGGCUGAUUGCACCAGCAAAGACGGAUGCUGCUUUCCGCAGGUACUAUUCCUGCUGGCCUUGGAGUCAACACAGAGCUUACGCUCUUCACUGCAGUUUUAGACAGCUUCCAUUAAAAAAAAAACUAAAUUCAUCUAAAAUAUUUUUAUAACAGAAAAUAUUGGUUGCCAUGUUUUUGGCGUAAGUGAGAUGUUUUUAUUCCAACUCAUAAUCUGCAAACUGCCCAAUCCACCUCCACUCUAUUUUUAGACAUAUUUAUUACAUUUAGCGGGUUUUCAGGGGGGAAGCUAAUAUUAGAAUUAUCGCAUUGGCACAGUUCAUUUGUGUUACUUGAGCAAUCUUAAACGCAUUAAAAUACAUAAUUCAGCUUAAGCUUAAUCAAUUGACUUAAAUGGCCCCCAGGGGAGCUAAAUGUAUAUUGUGCACAGUUAAAAACAAUAAGAAAUGUGUCAUUUACUCUCAUAGCCAUUAAGAUGAAAGCCAUAAACUCUCACUAAAAUCUGCAAUUCAUCCUUUCGUCCUGCAAGGUCCAACCUAGCUGUGACACCCAGGAAGCGGUUUCCUCACCUUGAGUAACUGAAAUGUUUUGUUUCCAGAGCACAGAAUGUUAAGUAAACAAUUACAGGUAAUAGCCUUGGCUCUUUAAAAACAAAACUUCCCUAGCAAGUGAAAGCUCGGUGAAAACAGAUCUUUCAGGAUGCUGGCAGGCAAUUAGGUAGCACAAAAACUCUGCUCAUAAAUUUGAUCUUAUGUUCAAACAAGGAAGGCCAAGUUAAGCUUUGAAAUGAAAAAAAAUUGAACUAAGGCCUGCUGAGCCAUACUCCUAGCCUUGGAUGGUUUAAAAAUACAGAAAAUAAUGUUAGUACUCUCUAUUUCCUUUACAAUUUGGGUCCUGUAUUUACCUUUCAUUGUUUCUUUCUUAUUUUUCCUUUUUUAUUUAUUUAUUCUUUUCAUUUUUCCAGGUAGGGCCUCAUUCUAGCCCAGGCUGAUCUGUAGUCUCAGGCUGGCCUUGAACUUAUAGUGAUCCACCUACUUCUGCCUCCCAGAGUGCUGGAGUGCUGGAAUUAAAGGCAUGGGCCUCCAUGCCUGGCCUGUCUUUACUUUUGAAAGUUUAAAAUGGACCAGCAAAUAUGUAUCAGGCCAGAAGACUUGGUACUUCUAAAACAUAGGUUUCCCAGUAGCAGCACCACCAUCUAGGGACACUUGGACUCCAGUCAAAGGUUCUACCUGGACUUUUGCCAUCAGGAUUUACCUCUGAACUGGUUCCCACUGGUUCACGAAAGCAUCCCAGCCUGAGAGUCUCUCCUGCAGAGUGCCACCAUGCGUGUGGCCACAGGCGCAGAACGAGUUUCACUGUGGAUUUUUUUUAUUAUUUCAGUGACUUAAGCUUUCCAGUGAGAAAAUGUCACGUUAUAGUCAGAUUUCUACAUCCUGGGACUCAACCAACUACGGGUGGAAAAUAUCUGAAAACAUGAGUCUGUGUUGAACAUGUCUAGACUUUUUCCUUGUCAUCAUUCCCUAAAUAUUUACAGAUCAUUUACACUACAGUAGGUAUCAUGAGUAAGCUCGAUGCUAUUUAAAGUAUGCAGGUUACACGCACAUACUAUGUCAUUGUGCACUAGAGGAGCCUCCUGAGAUUUUGGGAUCCAAUGGGGGUCCCAGAGCUACCCCUCCCACGCAAAGGAUGAUGGGGUAGACAUCAGCUCUGCAUUUCAGAAGUGCCCUGGUUUGUGCACAAAUCUUCACUAUCUCUGCCAAACGCAAAACUGCCGAGGCGCAUACUGGGGUCUUGAGCAGGACUGUUUCCUUGCAGGCAGCAGAGGGAGCGCCAGAGCACUGAGUACGUCCGUGCACAUCAUCACAGAUUUGAAAUUCUGGGCUGUGUUUUCAUGGGAAGUAGCCUGUUAUGUCAUUCAGAACAAAACAAGCCAAAAAGCAAACACACACUGCUUACCAGAUUAUAGCAACUGAAUAAUUGAACAGGUUGUAAAUAAUAUAAAAUGAAGAACGCACUUAUUUCAAGUUCUAGCAUGCAUUCUUGAUUGAAAGUGCACUCCAGAAAUCCCACUUGGAAAAGAUGCCUUAGCUCUUCUCUAGUAAGAACUUAAGACAAACAUCUACAGAAUCCUGCCUCUCCAAGAAUAACCUCUGCAUACCUACAAAGGUCGUCAGUUUAUCCACCACUACAUUAAGUAUAUUCAUUCAGAGUCAGACAUGUUGUUAAAAUAUGUUCAUGGUUUGCUGUUCUUCCAGUAUGCGUCUCUUUCUACUGCUUGCCACAGUGGUGACUGAUGUCCCCAUUAUAUUUAUAUAGCAUUCCAUGCUUUUCAAGUUCUUCUCUAGUGUGUUCUCAAAUACUCCCUAAGGUUGCUAGGAUGCUUGGCAAAAGCCAGCCCUCAAAAAAAGCGAUAGGGCGGCACAGGCUUUCAUAAUAGCGUUGAGCCUUUGAGCUGUCUAUGAGUUCAGGAAAUUAUAGAGCGUAAGUAUCUAGCAGCAUGUUCCUUUUUAUGCACUUUUAAAAGUUUUUCAGAGUUGCCAAAUAAUGGAUAUUUAGUAAGUGAGUAUGUAUGUAUCAAGAAUGGAUCUAAUAUAUAUGUGUAUAUAUAUGUAUAUGCAUACCCUAGGCUGAUCUGGAACUCACUAUGUAGCCCUGAAAUUCCCAUCCUCCUACCUGAACCUUAGGGAUGAUCAGAUGGCAGGCAUGGACCACCAUAUCCGGCUGAUAAGUGAGUAUUUUAGUGACAUAGUAAGAAUGGAACCCCAGGGUGUUGCCAAGCAAACUUUAAUAUCUGUGUUCUGAUCCCUAAACCCAUAUUUGAAGGGGGGGGGAAACUGGUAGCUAUGGUGUGGCUCCUAUAAUCCCAGCAUGCCUGUAUUGAGAUGUGGAGACAGGAGAAUUUCCUAGAAGCAAACAGACAAACAUCUCAGCAAAUGGGAGCCUAACUAACCAGAGACCUUCCUCAAACAAGAUUAGAGGAGAUGACUAGCCCAAAAGUUGUUCUCUGACCUCCACACAUGUGCUCUGGCAUUCACACACCCCUGAAAAUAAAAUAAAAAUAAAAAUAGCAAGAAUAGAGCCACAGGCAUGAACCUGAACACCUACCGUCCCAGCACUUAGGAGGAGGCAGAAUCAAGAGGUCAGAGGCAGCCUGGACUAAAUAAGACCUUGUUUCAAAAAACAGAAAAGAAAAGAAAGACCAAAUAUCUCAAGUUGUUUAUUAUGUCCUCUCAUUCAUUGGCAGCUAUUUAUGUAGCAUCUACAAGAAAUAGGCCCUGAGGAUAUGAAAUGAGUAAAAUCCCUCAGUCUGCCAGGGUUCCAACAUACAACAAACUUGACCUUUUAAAAAAUACUAACUUUUACCAUGAUGAAGCACCAAGGUUCUUGGCUUCCUGCUCCAGUGUCUCCAGGCAUAUCAAGCAGAGCUCCAAAUAUGAACUUGAAAUACUAGAAUCCUGGAAAAUCUGGGAGGCAGGAAGACAACUGUGUAACUCUUAAGCCAGAUUUGACUUAAAAGAUAAGAUUAGCCUCCCAAAUUCAUAAAACAAGGUACAAUAUGUGUUUUAUCUGAAUGCCCUCCCUAUCAAAGAUUGUACAUUGGAAUGGUAAACAUUUGUUUAUUUUUAUCUUUUUCAUAUUGUUAAAAAAGUAUUUCCUCCCACAGUGAAGAAUGACUUGCCAAGUUUCUGCCUGGAACAAUUUGUUAUGGCUGUGUCGUAACUCCUGAAAAGUAUGAAUUUUUAAUGGAAAUACUGACAGACCUCUAGCCAUGCUAUCACAAGCAGGCUCUAAUCCUAUGUAUGUCAUUGUAAAAUCUGAGCAGGCGUAGUGCUUGCAAAACAAAUACACUUUCCACAGCUUGUACUCCCAAGUAAAGCUGGAGAGAAAUAAAGUAGGACAGAAAAACAACUGAAAAUGAAGAGUGAAAGUAACUCCCAACAGGCUCUGAUAUCAGCAGGCCACACCCUAGGUAAAGUUCCCAGGCUCUGUGCAGCUUCAAGCUGAGCUUCUGAAUGGUCUGUCUUGAUCGGCUACCAAAGUACAUGACGUCAUAAAAUGACAUCACCAACAAGAGUGGCAUGAGGCUUGGGAGUGCUGGUGGGUGAUGUGAGCACAGGCAGUUGCUCCCAUCCCCCACACUACUAAGAUAAGUAGAUAAUGGAGAAUGGAAUGAAAAUCGUCACAUUGAAACAUCCACCAACAGUCAUGACUUAACAGUCUAUCCGUUUGACUAAACAAGUCUGCACUAUGAAAAGAGAACUUGAGUUCAGGUAUGAGCUAGUGCAGCCUUUGAGCACUUGAAAAUUGGCCCAAACUGAGGUGUGCUGCAUGGUUGAAUUACACAUCUAUUUUUAAGGACUUAGUUAAACAUUGUUGUGUAGCAAUUUGCUCUGAAUUGAAACAUUCCUGGAGGGAGCCUGAGGAGACUUAGAAAGUGAACUUGGCUAUGAAAGCUGCAACUUCCAAGGGCCCAAGGCCUCUCCCCAGGGUUAGGGAAGCAGUGGGUAACGCUGGGGAGAGACUGUGCUGGGGAGAGACUGUGCGCCAGAGCAGCCUCAGCUGCAAGUUGUUCCCAAUGCCUGCGUUUGGGGUGAUGCAAAUGCCUUCUAAGUUUGCCAGUAAACCCAUUGGCUCACCAAAACUAGACUGCAGUGCAUUCAUGCUAUUGUCUUGUGUUUGUUGCCCUAUCUGGGUUUAAUGCUACAAAUGCAUAUGUGUGUAUGUAUGUGUGUGUAUGUAUGUGUGCAUAUAUAUGUGAGAAACUACCACAAUAAUUUCUAUAUUGAUUAAAUAUAUUGUUCAAAUUCA